GUCAUGUUGAAGAAGGUUUGUGAAUGCAACAUAAUUCCCUUAAUAAUGUGUAACUAUUAAUUGUUCCUUAUAUUUGAGCUCCAGCACACUUCAAUUAAUAAGAUAAACCUAACUGCCCUUCUCCUGGACUGUCACUUUGCCGUGGUGGAGAGGCUUGAGUACUCCAAUGACCUGAGAGCUAAGGCGGAGGGGGUUUAUACUCUGUGCAGGUGCAACCAAGCCGGCCAGGUCAAAGGUACGGACAGACAUGAUCACACUACUAGCAUUGGGCUGCACUAAGAAUAUGGAUUGUAUGUUGGAGAAGAGAUAUGUGAAGAAUGUCAAAAGACUGAAAGAGGAGACUAACCUCCUUGAAGAAAAGCAGGCAGGGCUGGACAUCAACG
rnacentral:lncRNA from 1 species